rnacentral:lncRNA from 1 species
UUCUUUUCUUUCUCUUAGCCUCUAUUAUAGCAAAAUAGUAGCUCGGUAUUCUACCCCUUAAAACCCCGAAACUCUGCUCGUGAUUAGGGUAAGAACUCUAAUCACGGACACGGAACUAUAUCCGAUUGAUUGAAACUGAUCAAACGGAUGUUUAAGUGAUGCCUGUAUACGGUUAUACUUUGUCAGUCGUUAUAUAUGUGAGGAAGGUGCAAGGAAGGUGUAAGAAGAUAUAUAUGUGGGUAGGAAGCUUCCUAGAAAAUGUAUAGAAAACUCUGCACUAUACACUUACAAUCAAAAUAGACGCUUAAAUUACUAGAAGAUUCAGAACUAUAAGUAGAUGUGUAAUCAUCAGAAGAAUUAGAAUCAAGAUGCUUGUUUAAUCAAGAGUAUAUGCUUAAACCCUAAUAAAAGGCUCAUUUUUAAAGCGUGAAUUGAGAAAAUUCUAUUUAUGGGAAAUACAAUAACAAUUACCUCUCCGGCAAGACCAGGUAUGGUGUAGCAGACUCUCCAGCUUGUCCGGGCAAGAUGGGGUUACCUCUCCGGCGAGAACUGGGUAAGAUGGAGUGUCAAACAAGUGAGAGAAUUCCCUAAAUAGUAUCAUGACCUGAUGUCUGACUUGUUUGGAAACAUGAAUCUGUGAAAUACAUUAACCUUAUGAAUGGCUUGUAU